rnacentral:rRNA from 1 species
GAGCGGUGAAAUGCGUUGAUAUCAGGAGGAACACCGGAGGCGAAGGCGACACACUGGUCAAUCACUGACGCUGAGAUGCGAAAGCAUGGGGAGCAAACGGGAUUAGAUACCCCGGUAGUCCUAGCCGUAAACGAUGAGCACUAGUCCGUGGGAACUUCCACAUUUUCUCGGACGUAGCGAAAGUGUUAAGUGCUCCGCCUGGGGAGUAUGGUCGCA